UUACCACUCUGGCCUAAUGGCUUAGAUCAAGUGUAGUAUCUGUUCUUAAUAGUUUAACCACUAUUAUGAGAGCACCGCUCUCAUUCUCUGGUUAUCAAAAUUUUGCCGCCCUUUACUCUCUUCGAGCUCUGCUUGCAACUCGAAGGGCGCGAUGACCUUGCUACUGCACUAUUAGCUUGUGUUGUCGGGGGUAC
rnacentral:snRNA from 1 species